GUUACAGCACUACUUUUGGUGUCCCCCUCAGGAAUUGCUCUUGAGAAAAUGUAAUGUAAUUGUCCCCUCCAAAGUUGAUAUCAGAUUUUCGCCCCUGAGUUACAUUAGCAUGAUGAGGUUGUAUUCCUCUGGGGGCAAUUACAAUGAACCGCGGGACGAUUCUUUUUUCUAAUUGGAUGGACUGGGGGGGUGGAACAUUAUUGUUUUUACACCGUAAGUAUGCCUAAAUAGAUAUUGUAUUUCCCAAUAGCAUAAUCAUUUCAUACCUUGAUUACAUUGAGACACGGUCAAUGUCUCUUCAUGUAUUCGUAGGAAUACUUGGCAACAGAUUUCCUAAAUUAAAGGAUUUAGCUAAAUUCCUGGAAAUGUGUAUUUUUUUUCCCAAACACAAAAAUUAUAACAUGUACAAAAAAUAAAUGUUUACUGAUAAUUUGGCCUGCAUGCUUCCUGUUGCUGAGCCCUGUCCUAGGGCGUUUGCCUGCUUGUGUCCCUGUUCUAUUCUUGUUUGAGUUCAGCCCUGGGGUGUGCCAUGCGGGUGGGAGAUGUGGCGGUGCCCAACGAGUAUGGCACCUAGCUGUACGGCCGUGGAGGCUGGUGUGAUGGGCUACAGGUCAACCCCUGGAGGAUUGAGAUCACCACACAGCUGGACAUGAGUGGGAUUGAAGCCGAUACUCUGCUCUACUUUGGCCUUUACAGUGGACAGGAGCCCAAUCCGUCUCAAGACCCUGGCUACAUUGUCAUGCUCUCUUAUCUGGUGCUCUACAAGUUGUGCUCUACAAGUAGGGGGGAAAAAAUUAUGAAAUGUAUGCAUUCACUACUGUAAGUCGCUCUGGAUAAGAGCGUCUGCUAAAUGACUAAAAUGUAAAUGUAAAAUGUCUCCCUGACAACCAGGUUGUCUUGAAUGUGAAUUUUAAUGACUGUGAUUGAUGCGAAUGAAA
rnacentral:lncRNA from 1 species